rnacentral:rRNA from 1 species
GACGAACGCUGGCGGCGUGCUUAACACAUGCAAGUCGAACGGAAAGGCCCUGCUUUUGUGGGGUGCUCGAGUGGCGAACGGGUGAGUAACACGUGAGUAUCCUGCCCUUGACUUUGGGAUAACUUCAGGAAACUGGGGCUAAUACCGGAUAGGAUCUCCUGCUCCAUGGUGGGGGUUGGAAAGUUUCGGCUGUUGGGGAUGGACUCGCGGCUUAUCAGCUUGUUGGUGGGGUAGUGGCUUACCAAGCCUUUGACGGGUAGCCGGCCUGGGAGGGUGACCGGCCACAUUGGGACUGAGGUAGGGCGCAGACGGCUACGGGAGGCAGCAGGGGGGAAUAUUACAUAAUGAGCGGAAGCCUGAGGCAGAGGCGCCGCGUGCGGAAAGACGGCCUUCGGGUUAUGAACAGCUGUCGCCUGUGACGAAGCGUGAGUGACGGUAAUGGGUAAAGAAGCACCGGCUAACUACGUG